rnacentral:lncRNA from 1 species
CUACUUUUACGAAAACUUCUAAUAUUUUAUCUAACCUUUGCUGACAACAACUGCGUGAUGUCAACUCAACGGAAUCUUGAACACAUCGACUUCAGGUUGAACCUUGGAAUCAUGAACGUGUCUACAGGACAGUCUUCUGAGAUCGCUCUAUUUCUUCUGUACGUGCAGUCGGUUGCCCUGUAGAUGUACAUUGUACUUCCAGUGAUAUUUUUGGAGAGCUACGUCGACUGUGUUGUUACGGGCAUUCACCGCCAUGCUCGGUGAGAAGUUUCUUGGACAAAAUUUGAAAUGGAAGCUUUUUGAGGACAUUUUGAUGACAGUGAACAGCAUGCAAGACACGAAUGUACAAUGUAGACAGUCUUUACAAGGACUUGGGAACGAAGGGGCCGUCCAAAGUUUUCAACAUUUUCACGGUCGCACAAAGGGUGAAAUGAACGAUGAUAAGGGCAACAGAAACCCUGUAACUCCAGAUGAGAUGCACAAAACUCUUGACGAGGACACACAAAGACGUCUUCCAGACGAAGAAUCUGUUUUCAAGAAAGUCUCAACUCCAGCUUAACCAGGAAACACAUCUCUGAAGUAUGAUUAUGCUGAGGUUGGUGGUAGCGUGGCCAUUGCUAUGACCGUCCGUUCUAGGGCAUCUAACGAGGGAUAUGUUGACAGCCAAAACACUAGAAAGGAAAAUAAGAGGACACCAACCAAACAAACUGGAAAACAAUCCGAUAUAAACGGCCUACUUAAACGACCUCCCAGAAUGCAUCUCAAAAGGCACUCCGGUUAGGCUGUUCGCAGAUAAUGCAUUUAAAUAUCGUGAAAUUAGAUCUGAGGAGGAUUGUUCCAUCCUACAAGCUGACUUAGAUGCACUUACUAAAUGGGGAUCUGACUGGCAAAUGGCUUUCACUACCAGCAAAUGUUUCGUCAUGCACUUCACAAAAAGGGACCUCCAAAAAUGUCUCCUUACAUUUUGUGUGGAGAUCAACUCCAGACCACUGAUUGUAACUCGUACCUGAGAAUAAAAUGUAGUAAUAAUCUAAAAUGGGAAAAUCA